rnacentral:lncRNA from 1 species
UGUUUGAUUUGACAGUUGCUUUUGAAGAUUGUAUCUAGACUUCCCCGUGUAUUCCCCUGUUUUUGUGAAGCACCAAAUAAGGAUAUCUUGAUUAUCAGAUAUGGUAGGUCUUAGAGUCAGAACAUAGCUCGGGUAUUCUCUAUUCUGCUCUAAAUAUAUUUAUUCAUGCUGAUAUGUACUGAAAGUUUUUUUUUAUCUUUUUGUAUGUUUUUUGACAAUGAAUUCAUGUCUGUAUACUAUUUAAAUUUAUUGACAGGUAUUUAUAAUUGAUAAACCCUAAAACAUAGAGAAUAAAAAAGUUAACCUUUGAGAUCACCAAUUGAAACCAUCUCGUUGGUGGCUGAAUCUAUUGAAAUAAUUCUAUAUAUGCUCUGUGUUAUGAAAAUUGAUGUGGAAUGAAACUAAAAUGAUCUAUGGAAAUUUGGUUUAAGAUUAAUUUUGGUAGCCUGCGUGCUAAAUAUACUUUGUUAACCAAUAACUUAUAAACAGGCAUGGUUUGGUU